rnacentral:rRNA from 1 species
GAUGAACGCUGGAGGCGUGCCUAAUACAUGCAAGUCGAGCGAAGCGGGGACGGGUGAGUAACACGUGGAUAACCUCCUAUAAGACUGGGAUAACUUCGGGCAACAGGACCGAAACCGGAUACUUAUCGAUGGCUCCGCGCUGCAUUAGCUCGUUGGUACGGUAACGGCUUACCAAGGCAACGCUGAAUAGACGACCUGAGAGGGUGAGCGGCCACACUGGAACUGAGACACGGUCCAGACUCCUACGGGAGGUAGCAGUAGGGAAUCUUCGGAAAUGGGGGGAACCCUGACCGAGCAACGCCGCGUGAGUGAAGAAGGUUUUCGGAUCGUAAAGCUCUGUUUUUAAGGAAGCGUUACUUAACCAGAAAGGGACGGCUAACUACGUGCCAGCAGCCGCGGUAAUAC